UUCAUUGAUAAGCAUUAAAGGAGAGACUACUUAAUAAUUAGAGAGAGAUUAGAGGAGACAAUAAUAAUUGAUGAUGAUGAAUAAUCGAACAAACAGAAAGGAGAGAAGCGGAAAGAAAGGCAUGUCCAGUAGUGAUGGCAUGUAGAAACCUAUAACAUGGGAUCAUUCCAAUAGCGUUUUCCAACGCCACCAGCUGUGUAAUUUCGCUACACCGAAUCAUUAUGUUUGCUCUUAUGUCCUCUACCACAAAACCACAUAUACAUAAAAUAUCCAGUAGAUCUUAUACAUAUAUAAAAAAAAAUUUACUUGGUCGUACGUAUACACUUCCCAUGCAUGUUUUUUCUUCUAAAUUGUAUUUUUCUCUCUAAAUCGUGUACCAUUGUAUCAGUAAACGGAUCCGGUAUCUUUUGCAAUUCAUCCAUGUAUAGACUCAUAUAGUCACAUUAGAGUUCAAUACCACUUAAAUGGCACCUUGUUAGAUGCGUGAGCUUACCGU
rnacentral:lncRNA from 1 species